CCCUUAGAUGUUCUGGGCCGCACGCGCGCUACACUGAUGCAUUCAACGAGUCUAAAACCUGCUCUGAUAGGGGUGGGUAAUCUUUUGAAUGUGCAUCGUGAUUGGGAUAGAUGAUUGCAAUUUUUCAUCUUCAACGAGGAAUGCCUAGUAAACGCAAGUCAUCAGCUUGCAUUGAUUACGUCCCUGCCCUUUGUACACACCGCCCGUCGCUCCUACCGAUUGAAUGAUCCGAUGAAGCCUCCGGAUUGGCGCGCACCUCGGUGCCGCCGAGAAGUUGGCUAAACCUUACCAUUUAGAGGAAGGUGAAGUCGUAACA
rnacentral:rRNA from 1 species